AGCCUUGUGCACGGGCAGUACUAUUCCCAUGAUGCCUAGCAGAGGAAUAGUUAUUGCUAAUUGAAAACUUUUACCAAUUACCCGCACGCUUGGGGUGAGAUAUCCUCGGGUGAUGCAAUUUUUGGAUGCCCGGAAGGGC